rnacentral:rRNA from 1 species
UACGAAGGGAGCUAGCGUUGUUCGGAAUCACUGGGCGUAAAGCGCACGUAGGCGGAUGUGUCAGUCAGGGGUGAAAUCCCGGAGCUCAACUUCGGAACUGCCUUUGAUACAGCACGUCUUGAGUCCGAUAGAGGUGGGUGGAAUUCCUAGUGUAGAGGUGAAAUUCGUAGAUAUUAGGAAGAACACCGGUGGACGAAGGCGGCCCACUGGAUCGGUACUGACGCUGAGGUGCGAAAGCGUGGGGAGCAAACAGG